UACAGAGGUUGCGAACGUUGUUCGGAAUUACUGGGCGUAAAGCGCGUGUAGGCGGCAGCGCAAGUCGGGCGUGAAAUCCCACGGCUCAACCGUGGAAGUGCAUCCGAAACUGCUGAGCUUGAGUACGAAAGAGGAUCGCGGAAUUCCCGGUGUAGAGGUGAAAUUCGUAGAUAUGGGGUGGAACACCGGUGGCGAAGGCGGCCAUCUGGACGACAACUGACGCUGAGACGCGAAAGCGUGGGGAGCAAACAGG
rnacentral:rRNA from 1 species